rnacentral:piRNA from 2 species
CCUCAUUUUCUCAAGGUGCCGUGUUUGCCUGU